rnacentral:rRNA from 1 species
UACAGAGGUCUCAAGCGUUGUCCGGAAUUAUUGGGCGUAAAGAGCUUGUAGGCGGUUUGUCGCGUCUGCUGUGAAAAUCCGGGGCUCAACCCCGGACUUGCGGUGGGUACGGGCAGACUAGAGUGUGGUAGGGGAGACUGGAAUUCCUGGUGUAGCGGUGAAAUGCGCAGAUAUCAGGAGGAACACCGAUGGCGAAGGCAGGUCUCUGGGCCACUACUGACGCUGAGAAGCGAAAGCGUGGGGAGCGAACAGG